rnacentral:snRNA from 1 species
UCUCUUGUGCUCGGGCACGAGCUGUCGACAGUGAGGUCUUUACCGAGUCACAGCCAAUUGCUAGUUGCAAACUAAGCAUCCGAACGCGUCGAUGAGUCUAUGACUCUUCGCAAUUUUUGGCAAAACCUAACCAAUAAACAUGUU